GCGGGUGUAGCUCAGUUGGUAGAGCGCGACCUUGCCAAGGUCGAUGUCGCGGAUUCGAGUUCCGCCACCCGCUCCA
rnacentral:tRNA from 1 species